rnacentral:rRNA from 1 species
UGGUAAUUCUAGAGCUAAUACUUGCAUAAAGGCCCGACUUCUUGGAAGGGUUGUAUUUAUUAGAUACAGAACCAAUAGGGCUUGCCCUUUUUUGGAUGAUUCAUAAUAAAUGAACGGAGCGUAUGGCUUGUGCCGACGCUGUUUCAUUCAAGAUUCUGACCUAUCAGCUUUCGACGGUAGGGUAUUGGCCUACCGUGGCAUUGACGGGUAACGGAGAAUUAGGGUUCGAUUCCGGAGAGGGAGCCCGAGAAACGGCUACCACAUCUAAGGAAGGCAGCAGGCGCGCAAAUUACCCUUUUUUUACACGUGGAGGUAGUGACAAGAAAUAACAAAGCAAGCCAGUAUUCUGGUUUUGCUAUUGGAAUGAGUAGAAUUUAAAUCUCUUUACGACUAUCAAUUGGAGGGCAAGUCUGGUGCCAGCAGCCGCGGUAAUUCCAGCUCCAAUAGCGUAUAUUAAAGUUGUUGCGGUUAAAAAGCUCGUAGUUGGAUUUCUGUCGAGAACGGCCGGUCCGCACUAUGUGC